rnacentral:lncRNA from 1 species
UAGCGCCUGCUGGAGCAGGUAGAGAGCCGAGUGGUACUAUCAAAUGGCUAGUAAUGGUUCUUGGACGAGGAGUGGGACUCGUGGUAAACCUGAAAUGGUGAAUUGACUCUCAAGGUAAUGGAUAGGGGAUUGCGAGAGUUGGACCUUGAUGCUUGCGGAUACCUGAGUAGCCUGAGAAUUUUGGAUACCGUUCAGGUAGAUCGAAUAGUGAGAGUAGGAUCAUUGUUAAGAGAGUAGCCGGUUAGUGGCCGAGUACGAGCACUAGGAUAGGCGAGUUGUGCCUG